AGAACGAACGCUGGCGGCAGGCUUAACACAUGCAAGUCGAACGCCCCGCAAGGGGAGUGGCAGACGGGUGAGUAACGCGUGGGAAUCUACCUGGUUCUACGGAAUAACUGAGGGAAACUUCAGCUAAUACCGUAUACGCCCUAAGGGGGAAAGAUUUAUCGGUGCCAGAUGAGCCCGCGUUGGAUUAGCUAGUUGGUGGGGUAAUGGCCUACCAAGGCGACGAUCCAUAGCUGGUCUGAGAGGAUGAUCAGCCACACUGGGACUGAGACACGGCCCAGACUCCUACGGGAGGCAGCAGUGGGGAAUAUUGGACAAUGGGCGAAAGCCUGAUCCAGCCAUGCCGCGUGAGUGAUGAAGGCCUUAGGGUUGUAAAGCUCUUUCAGUGGGGAAGAUAAUGACGGUACCCACAGAAGAAGCCCCGGCUAACUUCGCGCCAGCAGCCGC
rnacentral:rRNA from 1 species